rnacentral:rRNA from 1 species
UACAGAGGUGGCAAGCGUUGUUCGGAAUUACUGGGCGUAAAGGGCGCGUAGGUGGCCAACUAAGUCGGACGUGAAAUCCCUCAGCUUAACUGGGGAACUGCGUCCGAUACUGGAUGGCUUGAGUUUGGGAGAGGGAUGCGGAAUUCCAGGUGUAGCGGUGAAAUGCGUAGAUAUCUGGAGGAACACCGGUGGCGAAGGCGGCAUCCUGGACCAACACUGACACUGAGGAGCGAAAGCCAGGGGAGCAAACGGG